rnacentral:lncRNA from 10 species
CACGUCUUUGCCCCAUAAUACUCCUUUUUCUUAAGUCCUACACCACUGGUUUCCCUUUCUUUGAAGGGCGUCUGUAUUUUGCCAAGGUUAACUCUAAGCUUGUGCUCUUAAUUCCAUCCUCUUGUGCUUUCUUUGAGAAUUUCACCUUCCCAUUUCUUUCUUACCAGCUUCUAGCUCCUCUGCCUACAAAUGUGAUUUCUUCCUAUCCUAAAAACAACAAAACCCAAAUAACCUUUCUCUGACUUUGCACUAGCUGAGCUGUUCUCCAUCUUCUUUCUUUUUCUUCACCAUCUGAUCUUAAGAUAUGUCUGCAUUCAUGAACUGCCACUACUCUCUCACUCUCAAAUCCAGUGCCUCUACUCUCACAAUCCUCUGAUUCUUUAAUCCUGCAUCUGCCCUGACCACUUUAUAUCAAUAGAUCUGUCAAAGAUUUAACUACAACUUUUCAAGUGUCACAUUAACUUGGCCUUUUAACUCUUCCAUUACAGAAAACUGCAGCGUUUGACACUGAGACAACUUUCUCCUCCUUUGUCAAAUAUUUGAUUCACUGGCACACAAGACAUGGCAGUCUUUAGGUUUUCUUCCUCCUCUUUGAGCCUCCCUUCACUGCCAAUUUCUUUGAAUCAUUUUUUCCAAACCUCAAUAUGGACACUCUCCAUGUCAUUCUUGAUGCCUUGCUGCUUAUAUGUUUUAUCUCUUGGCAAACUCAACCAUUCUGGUGGCUUCAAUUUUCAACUCUAUUUGGGUGGAUUCCAAACCUG